rnacentral:rRNA from 1 species
CCUACGGGAGGCAGCAAUCGGGAAUAUUGCGCAAUGGGCGAAAGCCUGACGCAGCAACGCCGUGUGAGGGAUGAAGGCCUUCGGAUCGUAAACCACUGUCAGAGGGGACGAAAUUGACGGUACCCUCAGAGGAAGCCCCGGCUAACUCCGUG